GAGUUUGAUCAUGGCUCAGAACGAACGCUGGCGGCAGGCCUAACACAUGCAAGUCGAACGAGCUGAGACCUUCGGGUCUCUAUGCUAGUGGCGCACGGGUGAGUAACGCGUGGGAAUAUGCCCUUCAGUACGGAAUAACUCAGGGAAACUUGGGCUAAUACCGUAUACGCCCUCCGGGGGAAAGAUUUAUCGCUGAAGGAUUAGCCCGCGUCUGAUUAGGUAGUUGGUGAGGUAACGGCUCACCAAGCCGACGAUCAGUAGCUGGUCUGAGAGGAUGAUCAGCCACACUGGGACUGAGACACGGCCCAGACUCCUACGGGAGGCAGCAGUGGGGAAUAUUGGACAAUGGGCGAAAGCCUGAUCCAGCCAUGCCGCGUGAGUGAAGAAGG
rnacentral:rRNA from 1 species